rnacentral:lncRNA from 1 species
GGUGUAGACACGACAGGUCAGAGGUAGCCGCCAUGCAAUGGGCCCCCACCUCUGACAGUUUUCAUCCUCGAUGUUGGUAAGGCCUGUCACUGAGCUGCUCAGCUGCUUCCACACCGUGGUCAUGUCUCCUGACUCCAGCGCCCUGUUGAUGAGGGCCACGGACGACAGCAUCUCCACAGCCACGGAAAGCCUACAAGUCUAAUCCCACAAGAUCCAAUCUUGCAGCACCUAAAGUAUCUCCGGUGUCAGUCAAGUGGGGCUUUAGUUUUCCGUCUGAGGAUGAAUAAAAACAGUAGAGAUGAGCCCAGGUCUCUGAAGAGCCCAGAGAAGUAUGUGUGUGCUUCCUCCCACCCCACCAACAUGACAAAACCAAGAACAAGUCUAAGUAUGGAGUUCAGACCUUCUGUAAGUGACAAAGUUACACAACUAUCCCUAAAAACACAAGACCCAGGUCCACUUGGUACAAACAGUAAUGGGUUCCUGCAGAGCCAAGCCAGGAGGCAGGAGGCAGGGGGCAGGGGGCAGGGGGCAGGAAGUAAGCCCCUGGAGGAACCACCUUGCCUAAGGUCAGUGGGCUGAGCUGCAUCCUUGCCAUAAAGCAGAGGCCUUCUGUGGGCACCAGGGCUAAAUAAAGGUGUGUGGAGUC